AAGCCAGACAUUAAAGGGAUUUGCAAAAAUGAAAAACAAUGGUACUUUUCUCACUAUUUUUUUUCGUUUUGGAAAAUACAGUUAUUUUCACAGAAAUGUUGUUUAUGUUAACAUUCAAUAGGUUUAUUAUUGUUAUUUUUACCCUAACAAAGCCAAAAAAUUUAAAGUCCUCAGUCUUAACUUCUAAUAUUUUAAACACCCACUAAGCGGAUUUCAGGACCUACUAAUGAAGGCAUUGCCCAAGGUCACACAGCGAGCCAGAGGUGAAAGGGAAGCCAGAAGCAGAUGUCGCGGCCUCUAGUCCAUCCGGGCGCUCUCCCUGCCCUGUCCCCGGGCCGAGUCCAGUUUAGGCUGGGUGACUGCUCAUCCCAGAGAGCGCAGCCCAGGAAACAGUGGGAGGUGGAGGACGUGGAGCUUGGAUGGGGCCGGGAAUCCCCCAGGCUUGAGCGGGAUGGGCCACAGCCCUCUUUUCCCCCCACUGGUGAAACCCUGCUGAGGAAUUAAGUCAAUAUACAGAAAAUCACAGCCAAGAGCUGGAGAGAGAAAGAGAGCUCUGACAUCAUCAUUGAGCACCUGGAUCCAGCCAUACCUGAAGCCAGUGCCUCUACAGUGUUUACAUACGUUAGCUAAUAUUUCUUUUUAACUUAAGC
rnacentral:lncRNA from 1 species